GGCUACUCGGUGGCCGUGGGCGAGUUCAGUGGGGACGAGACCCAAGACUUCGUGGCCGGUGUCCCCAAAGGCAACCUCACCUACGGAUACGUCACCAUCCUCAACGGCACCAACAUGAGGUCCCUGUACAACUUCUCGGGGGAGCAGGUGAGAGGCCGGGU